ACUUCCUGCCAAGGCCAGUGAGGGAGACACCCCUGCCAUUUACAGCCUUGUGUUUGAUAAUUGAAGAUUCAGUGUACCCUGGUUGCUGUCCUCAGAGAUAACAGUGAGUUGAGUAAUUAACACUGAACAAGAAUCUUUGAACCUGGCCAUGUUGUGUGUUCUCCAAUCGACAAAGCUGCACAGAAAGCCACCAAAGCAUGAGGAAGACCGCGAAUGGAGCCUUCUGGGAGAUCCAACCUCUAUCGAACACAUAAGAGAAUAAUGUGGCAUAUAGUUCCCAAGGUUUUAUAACUAUGAAAAUUGAGGAAGAUUGAUGAUGCUUGUCCUGCCAGAGGACAGGCUCUCUGUUGUUGCUUGAGUUGUAAUCCCCUGCCCCGCCCCCUUGACCCAACUUCAAAACAAAAGUCCAAGUCUAAUUAAAAUCAGAACCCGGUGUCCCAUUAGUGCUCUGCUGGCAGACCUUGGCUUUGGCAUUGUCUUUCUGACCAGAUUACUGAUCAGUGUUUAUUGCUAAUCAUCUGUGGCUGGAAACAUGACCCAGGGAGCAGAGAGACCAGGGCAACGGCAUGCAGUGUCAUUGUUAGACUUACUCACAGUGUUUGCAGCAGGAAUCAGUCAACCCUAAUCCACAACCACAAGAAGUCUGAGCACGCCAAGUCCCUUGUGUUGGCAGUCAGGCAAAGCUGCCUCCUUUCAGCUCUUGGCAGGACUCCCCAACGAUGUCUGAAGCCCGUGCUGCCUAGAGAGGUGGGACAGGCUGAGCAAAUGAGCGUUUGCCAUAUUGUACACAGCAAAAAUUCUCAUGUCCUGUGUUUUCUCAAUUCCUCACAGAAAAUGAAGAGUCUUGUUGUGUGAGGAUGUGGCACGUGGUGGAACACGGUCUCCUGCGCAUCAGAGCCUUUAUUACCUCCGUCCAAGCAGCUGGGACCACCGGCAAGUGAUGCUCCGGAUUGGGUCCAUCAACGUCCCUUGUAGAGGGAGGAGAGGUCGAGAAGGUUCAUUAAUCCUUCAUCCAGGAUCCCACCUCCUCCUCCCUCCUACACCUCCCUACCAUCUAUAAGCACUUUGUCCCCAGUUUCACAUGGGCUGAGGGUGGGGUCGGUGUCAAGAGUAUAUAGAGGGAAAAGGAGAAUGGAAGGCACCAUCUUUGCCCCAUGGAGAACCUGGCACCUGUGUUUUGGUGGGAUUUUCUGCAAUGUAGCUCUUUAAAGGUCAAAUGGAAAAUAAUUGUUAAAAAUCAGUCUCUCGUCAUCUUCAACCCCAAAAUGACCAUUUGGGCCACUUUACUAUAGAUUAUGAGAUUUUAAAAUCAUGAAAAAAAUAAAUAAUAUCUUUGUAGUUUAGAUGAAUUUAGGUGCCCGAAGAAAGAACAGCACUGUGAGGUUAUAUGGGAGAACUCUGUAGAAAAUGGUUAUGUCUGCCUGCAAUAAAAUUUCCUAAAUUAACAUAG
rnacentral:lncRNA from 1 species